UACGACACCUAUCCGCCUGGGGACUACAAGCACUAGCUUCAAACCCAAAGGACUUGGCGGUGCUUUAGACCCACCUAGAGGAGCCUGUCCUAGAACCGAUAACCCCCGUUCAACCUCACCACUUCUUGCCUAAUCCGUCUAUAUACCUCCGUCGUCAGCUUACCCUGUGAAGGACUCAUAGUAAGCUUAACUGGCACAGCCCAAAACGUCAGGUCGAGGUGUAGCAUACGAAGUGUGCAAGAGAUAGGCUACAUUUUCUGACUCAGAAUACUACGAAAGAGGAAAUGAAAAACCCUCCAAAGGCGGAUUUAGCAGUAAGCAAGGAAUAGAGCGCCCCGCUGAAACUGGCCCUGAAGCGCGUACACACCGC
rnacentral:rRNA from 1 species